rnacentral:rRNA from 1 species
GCACGGGUGAGUAACACGUAUCCAACCUGCCGAUGACUCGGGGAUAGCCUUUCGAAAGAAAGAUUAAUACCCGAUGGCAUAGUUCUUCCGCAUGGUAGAACUAUUAAAGAAUUUCGGUCAUCGAUGGGGAUGCGUUCCAUUAGGUUGUUGGCGGGGUAACGGCCCACCAAGCCUUCGAUGGAUAGGGGUUCUGAGAGGAAGGUCCCCCACAUUGGAACUGAGACACGGUCCAAACUCCUACGGGAGGCAGCAGUGAGGAAUAUUGGUCAAUGGACGAGAGUCUGAACCAGCCAAGUAGCGUGAAGGAUGACUGCCCUAUGGGUUGUAAACUUCUUUUAUACGGGAAUAAAGUGAGGCACGUGUGCCUUUUUGUAUGUACCGUAUGAAUAAGGAUCGGCUAACUCCGUGCCAGCAGCCGCGGUAAUACGGAGGAUCCGAGCGUUAUCCGGAUUUAUUGGGUUUAAAGGGAGCGUAGGCGGACGCUUAAGUCAGUUGUGAAAGUUUGCGGCUCAACCGUAAAAUUGCAGUUGAUACUGGGUGUCUUGAGUACAGUAGAGGCAGGCGGAAUUCGUGGUGUAGCGGUGAAAUGCUUAGAUAUCACGAAGAACUCCGAUUGCGAAGGCAGCCUGCUGGACUGUAACUGACGCUGAUGCUCG